GGAAAAUAAAAUAUAAGGAACACUUCAAGUUUAGCCCACUUCUAAGCUGAAAAUGAACGUUUUCAGCAGUGUUGCUCUCAAUGUGAUCAGCAGCUGUGUUUUACUCAAAAAGGCCCUGUGAUCAUCGAGUUUAAAACCCUGGGAAACAUUGCUCUAAUAAAAUUAUUGGAAGUUACUUUUUUCCCCGUCUUUCCUGAAAGCAACUUAAUAUUGCAAUGUUUUGAAAAGGGUUGUUUUAGGACAGUCACAAGGUACACAGGCCUGAGUGUGGCAGUGCUAUACCAGACUGGCAGCGAUGCUGAGUGGCAAUAUCCAGACCCGGAUUGUGCUGGUAUCGUGGGGGUGUAAAUUCGACUUUCCAAUUGCUCCAAGAUCAGAAGCAGCUGCCAGGUGCGUGAAAGGUUGCUUGCCUCAAUGCAGGGCUGCAGUCAAAUUGGUUCCUCUGUUAUUGCAAGCCGCCUGAUUUACUAACCAGAGCGGCGGAGAGGGAUGAAGGCUGCCUAAAGCCACUCAAGGCACCCCCACAGCUGGUGGGGCUGCCGUGGGUCCUGCCGGGAUGCAGCCGGGAGGAGAGGAGCUUCCCGACGCUCCGCAGAUGCCAGCCAUCCCACCCGCUGUUAAUUUUCCACUUCUUCCUCUCCCAGACCUGAACCAUCUCCUGCUCCUUUGCCAGCACCUUCUGCAGAUGUUUUAAAAGCAACUGGCAAGCUUCCUUGCUGCAGGGGCUGCUCAGCUUCUAUCCUCCCCCUCCACAGAGAAAAGACCCUAACCUGAGGGGCAUUUGCAAGUGUGAAAAAUGACGCUAAGGCUCCUUUCCCUAUCUCCUAAUUUUUAAAGAUUUGGUGAAUCAGGCUUGGCGGUCUUUCCAAGUGCCUGCCGUGCCCCUCCUGCUUCCCCCGAGCCCAAUGCUGCUGGUUGUCGCUCACUUAGAGAAGCCAUGGAGGCCUGACCCUGUGCAUUGACAUCCACAGGAGCUUUGCCAUUAAAGUUAUUGCUCCCAGCAUUGAUCCCCAUGCGAGACGAGACCGGUACCCUCGUUUGGGAUGUGAGGCUGGGGCCCCCGCCGUCGGGUUCCUGCUGGAGGAGACUUCGUGGCUGUGCGUCUCCCAAGGAGAGAUGUUGGAGGGGAUGCGCCUUCUUCCAGGCUGCAUCAACUCCCCCGGUACGUGCGUACCGUAUAACACGUAGGUUUGGUUUGAGCGUAACAGCCACCCGAGGCGGUUCUUCUGCUGCGUGAUGAUAACGGGACUGACCAAAACGGUAGCUAAAACACCCAACCCCAAUGUUUUGCCGCUGUGAACCACGGGGCUGGGAAUGGCCACCUUUCCAAAGCCUCAUCUGCGCUGGGUUGCGUGGUGGUUCAUUUUCUCCAUGGAAAAACGAUAGCAAAGAGGGGAGGGGAGCAGGCCUUGUGCUUUCGAAGGGACAUGUUUCAGUUCGGCACGGGGCAGCAAGUGAGGUGGGCUUGGGUGGGCUGAUGCCUGACCUGCAGCCCCCCGGUCCCUAAGCCACAGCAUACCCGGCUGCAUGUCCACCAGCGCAGGGCUGUAGCUCCCGUGGCUCCUCGAGCCCUGGAUUUCACAAAAUUUGAAAAGAAACGUGGGUUUCUGUCUUGGCAGUGGUGUUAUCUGGAGGUUGGAAGGGGCUGCGCGGGGCUUGUUCCCAGUUCUCCACGGCUGUUGGCAAGAACUUACUCUGUGUGUCUUCUUCUGCAGCACAUCCCCCAAAUGGGCGUUUAAUCAGGUGCCAGUGUAGGAAAUAGACAGCUUUCACCCAUCUUACCGCUUCCAUCAACCAUACUGCGGUGCGGGGGUGAUUCUGCAUCCCUCCCUGAGCCGUCCCCGGGUCUCCUUCAGCUGCCGAAGCGCUGCGUCGGAAGCAGGAGCAGGCUUGGGCAUGGCCGAGGAGGAGCUCCAGCGCUGGAGCUGGUGCCCGGUCAGGGGGGUAGGGGGGAUGCCCCUGCUCCUCUCCAGGAUCUCCAGUGCCUUGAGACCCAGCAGCAUCACCUUGGGCCGUCAGCCAGAGCCGAGGGGUGAGUGCUGCAGUUUUUCCCUCUGGCGCAGCCCUGGGAAAAGCACUGAGACCUGUUCAUCAGAUCUUCUCCCUCCUCCCACCAUGGGGAAAUGGGGAAAGAAAAACCUGCUCCCCUCCUCUCCUGGCCAGGAUGGGAAAGAGAAGCUGUAUUUACUUUCCACUGCCUUGUAGCUGGGAGGAGGAGAAAAGAGGAUGUGGAAAGGGAGAAAGGGGGGGCUCGGGGCGAGGGGAUCCCCAUCGAUGACCAUACUGGGGUCCGCUGAAACCUGAAAUGGGCACACAAGGUGAGCAGUCUGCGGUGUGGCAUCCCCACUUGCAAAGAAAACAUUUACUGAGUUGUACGGUAACAGUGCAGGGCAAACGGGGAAGGUGACCCAGAGAAAAAUCUGUCCCAUCCGUGGUUGUGUCAGGGGUGUUGCUGGAUGUUAUUUAUAACAUUUAAUUACUAUUAUUUUUACUUGUCCCAGUUCUUCCCAGCCAGAGAAGGUCACUCAAGCCAUUGCUCAGGAACAAAAAUGGCGUUAAGCUGGUAAAAAUGAGUGAAACUCCUGUGGUGUUUGUUUUUUUUUUUCUUUUCAUAAUUUUGCCAAUCUCACUUUGGUGGGCGCUGAGAUUUCCUACACACCUCACCUGAACGAGAGUGGAGAGUGGCAGUUAAAAAGAUGGGGAAGGGCAGAGCAGUACAGAGGUAUGGAGAAGAAACAAGCAAACAACCAAACAUUUGGGUCUGAAUAAUUUCCAGCAAUGGAGAGUCCACAGCAUUGCUGGGAACAAUUCUUACAGGCUAUCUGAAUUAUCCAGAAACUGCCAAGGCAGAUUUAUACUUGAACUGGAUUACAAGGAAAUACACUGCAAACCACUGCAACAAAUCAUUACUAAUCACAAUCAAUCGGAGUGAUUAAAGCUCUGACAUCUCUCCUGGAGUUGCAUUAAUGAAUGAGAAAUUGCAUGCAAAUGGCACUGCGGUUCUUGGUCCCAGCCAGACGUCGUGCCUGUCGUCCCCCCUCUCACCCAGCGCGUUGCAAGGUUUUCCCUUGGGCCGAUGCCCCGAUAAAUGGCUUUUCCAUCCUGGGUGAAAUUUCCACGGGAGGACUGGGGACAUUUAUCCCAGAGAAAGAAGGAAUGCUGUAGCUUGUUACACCCUAAAAAGAUGAUAACCCCUGCAGACUAGUCACACCCUUACUCAGGUAAAAUAUGUUCAGACUAGCUAACUUACCUCUUCGCAUGUAAAAUGUCUGUGGUAUUCUUCUCAACUUCCUGUGCCUAACUGCUGGUGCUAUGGUUGCUAUACACGGCCAAGAAGCUAUGCUUUCCCACCCCAGACACGAACAGAGAGCUCCAGCAUAUAUUUAUCUUUUUUUGCAUACUUCACAGAAAUAUUUCGAAGCUUAAGAAGUCUCUCAGGCUAUGUUUGUUCGGUGUUUCAAUAACCUCCUGUGAAAAUGCUUUACAAAGAAUUAUUCUUCUUUCUGGUCUGCGAUGAUUUACUUAUUCCUCCAGCUCAGUGUUUGCUUCAUGCUGAUUAUAAGGGCCAUAAGACCAAGGCACCGAAAUGCAUCCUUUCCAGAGGACGCUCGCUCUCUUUGCUGGAGAAGACAAGGAAUUGCACCCUGGAGGAUGCUGCCCAGACAGAGGACGGAGCCUGCUCUCCUGGGGCUGCGGAGCAGGGUGACAAGAUGCGGCCGUGCCAGAAGCCCGCCGUCGCCAGCGCUGGCCGGGAGCAGAGGGUGAUGGAUGCCCCCAGGUAUGUUCAUGGCUGACAGCAUCUGAGGAAGGUCCCAUAAAGCGUAAUCCUUAAUUCAUCUCCUCGGGAGCCCAGAAAGGCUGAUGUAGUUGGUGGGACGUGCGUGAAUUUGAGCCCUUCGUAGACAGAACAGGACGACAGUUCCUCCGUGCCCACUGCGCCGGUGUGCACGACAGAAGCCUUCUAUAAUGCCCCUGUGUUUUAUCCUCAUCCAAACCAGCCAAAAUAAAAAAAGAAGCCGCACAUGACCCAGCGCCCGCCUGCCCAUGCCCCCCGGCAGGCAGAGGAGAACGUCUGCCGCCCGCCUGCAGAUAUCGGUGCUCACGCCUGGGAGCGCAGCGGCGUAACUGCUGAGUGGUGAAUACCGGUUUAUCGUGUUCUGGGAUCCUUCCCCAGGUACACCCACUCCGUGUGCCUCUCUCCUGUUUAGAGGGGAGAUUAUCUCAGCCCAUCAACACCCCUGUAGGGAGAUGACGGCUUUGUGCAGCUCUCCUCCGCUGUGGCAGAGGGAAUGGCGAGGAUGCCCAGCGUAAGGAAUCCCGUGCACCACAGGACCUGUCCUCCGGGCUGCUCCACUGCCGAGCGCCCUUCUGAGGCCAUCUCCUUCAGCCGCUGCGCAGCCACAAACCGUGCCCACGCUGCAUCUGCAGCACUGGGAGCACCUUCGGAUCGGCGGGGUUUCGGAGCCGCUGGAAGAGGCACUGCUGGGAAGAGAUGUCGACACCUGCUUUAGGAGGCUCCCACAUCCCAGCGCAGCGUGGAUGUCCCUCAAAGGCUGGGAGGGAUGACCCAGAUCCAGUGCAUCGUAUCUCCCCGCAGGGUGUUGCUGCAAAGCGGUGCUUCUUGACGCAAUUGCCUCUCAGUGGGAGGAAUGAGGUAGGUGUGCUUUAAUGAAGAGCGGCUUUAGCUUUGCCACGAGUCCCCGCGUGGGAGGACGGCCCCGCUGCGGUUCAGUGCUGCGGGUGGGUUCAGCCCACUCCUCCACACAGCCACGGGCCCCAGGCGCUGCAGGAUCGCCCCUCUGGCUCUGGGCAAAAGUCGCCUGAAAUCUCUCCUUGCUGGUGGUGCUGGUGUUGGUGAAGGAGGCGAUGAGCUGGACUGAUAAUCGUGUCUUCUGCCGAACAAGAGAUAAGCAAACACUUGAGGAGGAAGAAACUAGUGAGUGGAGAAAAAAGAACCUGUAUUUCUCACGGUAUCAGGACACUAGUGCUUGGCUAACAGGCCGAUGUGAGCUGGGCUUGUUUCAAGCCAGAAUGUUUUAACAGGGCAAAGGGCCAGCUGACCUUGGAGGCUGAUCGUCCUCCUCCUGUUGUAGAAGAUGAAGGGCUGUCUCCCCAGUAGGUCUCCUUUGAUUUAAUACUCACCUGAAAGGAAUCAGGAGUGCCUCCACAAGCACCUAAUGCUUCUGUGAGCCUACAGCUCACCCCUACAAAUGUGCGCACGGUUCUGCGUGUGCCAGAGUUUCAGCUCAUGGGUUAUCACAGAGCAUUUUCUGCUUCAU